rnacentral:rRNA from 1 species
GAUGAACGCUGGCGGCGUGCUUAACACAUGCAAGUCGAACGGAAAGGCUCCUGCUUGCAGGGGUACUCGAGUGGCGAACGGGUGAGUAACACGUGGGUGAUCUGCCCUGCACUUCGGGAUAAGCCUGGGAAACUGGGUCUAAUACCGGAUAGGACGAUGGUUUGGAUGCCAUUGUGGAAAGUUUUUCGGUGUGGGAUGAGCUCGCGGCCUAUCAGCUUGUUGGUGGGGUAAUGGCCUACCAAGGCGUCGACGGGUAGCCGGCCUGAGAGGGAGUACGGCCACAUUGGGACUGAGGUACGGCCCAGACUCCUACGGGGGGCAGCAGUGGGGAAUAUUGCACAAUGGGCGCAAGCCUGAUGCAGCGACGCCGCGUGGGGGAUGACGGCCUUCGGGUUGUAAACUCCUUUCGCUAGGGACGAAGCGUUUUGUGACGGUACCUGGAGAAGAAGCACCGGCUAACUACGUG